CAGCUCUUCGUUAGUAUUCCGAGUUAAGCUGCUGGCAGAAAGAAUGAGCUGCUAUGUGGUGACAGCUGGGUUGAAGAAGGGCAAUAUUAAAACAAAAUCCAUGAGAUCAUUAAGCCACUGUGUAAAGAUGAACUCUGAGUUAUAACUCAAAGGCACAGCU
rnacentral:snoRNA from 1 species